UACGGAGGGGGCUAGCGUUGUUCGGAAUUACUGGGCGUAAAGGGCGCGUAGGCGGUAUGCCAAGUCAGGGGUGAAAGGCCUGGGCUCAACCCAGGAACUGCCUUUGAAACUGGCAAACUAGAGUCCGAAAGAGGAUGGCGGAAUUCCCAGUGUAGAGGUGAAAUUCGUAGAUAUUGGGAAGAACACCAGUGGCGAAGGCGGCCAUCUGGAUCGGUACUGACGCUGAGGCGCGAAAGCGUGGGGAGCAAACAGG
rnacentral:misc_RNA from 1 species